CCAAUGUGAAUAUCCCCGGAGGCUGCUCUUCUCUGGGCUCUAUCCAAGUGGUAUAGGAUAGCAUAUGGCUCUGCCCCAUAGUGUACAGUCUCUUUCCACAACAUCAGAGAUGAAGCCAGACCUUGAGUCUGCACCUGGAUAUUACUACCGCUUCUCAGAGUCCUGUAGACCAUGAGCCAGGAAACAAACCAUGCAGGAAAUAAUG